rnacentral:rRNA from 1 species
UGGGGAAUAUUGCACAAUGGGCGAAAGCCUGAUGCAGCGACGCCGCGUGAGGGAUGACGGCCUUCGGGUUGUAAACCUCUUUCAGCAGGGAAGAAGCGAAAGUGACGGUACCUGCAGAAGAAGCGCCGGCUAACUACGUGCCAGCAGCCGCGGUAAUACGUAGGGCGCAAGCGUUGUCCGGAAUUAUUGGGCGUAAAGAGCUCGUAGGCGGUUAGUCGCGUCUGCUGUGAAAACUCGAGGCUCAACCUCGGGCUUGCAGUGGGUACGGGCUGACUAGAGUGCGGUAGGGGCGACUGGAAUUCCUGGUGUAGCGGUNGGAAUGCGCAGAUAGUCAGGAGGAAGCACCGAUGGCGAAGGCAGGUCACUGGGCCGCAACUGACGCUGAGGAGCGAAAGCAUGGGGA